GCUGUUGGCUGCCUCUCCCUACUGGCUACCCCUGCCCCUGCUUCCCUGCUCGUCCUCUUGAUCUACCGCCUUGCAGCUGCCCUGCACCCUCCAUCACUUGUGGUUGCACCAAUGUUGCUGCAAUCAAGAGGAAGGAGAAUACAAGGUGCAACAAGGUGAGGGAACGUGGAGGGAAAGGAAGGAAAAGGAGAUUGCUGUCCACGAUGGGAUUCCAAGGUACCUGAUGCUUGGCAUGAUGGGAAGAGGAAUAAUAGCACAUUUUGCACAUCAUGUCCUCACAUAAAAUCCACUGUGCUAUAUUAAUAAGGAUGUUUAGUUGGUGGAGGCAUGUGCUUGAAGUUUAAACUAUGGCCGUGAGGUUAAACUUAAUGUUUACUCUUAGUUCUUGUUAGGGAUGUUUUAAAAUGCUAGUUUGCUAUGUUAUAUCUUGGUUA